rnacentral:rRNA from 1 species
GACGAACGCUGGCGGCGUGCUUAACACAUGCAAAUCGAACGGAAAGGCCCUGCUUUUGUGGGGUGCUCGAGUGGCGAACGGGUGAGUAACACGUGAGUAACCUGCCCUUGACUUUGGUAUAACUUCAGGAAACUGGGGCUAAUACCGGAUAGGAGCUCCUGCUGCAUGGUGGGGGUUGGAAAGUUUCGGCGGUUGGGGAUGGACUCGCGGCUUAUCAGCUUGUUGGUGGGGUAGUGGCUUACCAAGGCUUUGACGGGUAGCCGGCCUGAGAGGGUGACCGGCCACAUUGGGACUGAGAUACGGCCCAGACUCCUACGGGAGGCAGCAGUGGGGAAUAUUGCACAAUGGGCGGAAGCCUGAUGCAGCAACGCCGCGUGCGGGAUGACGGCCUUCGGGUUGUAAACCGCUUUCGCCUGUGACGAAGCGUGAGUGACGGUAAUGGGUAAAGAAGCACCGGCUAACUACGUG